rnacentral:lncRNA from 1 species
GAAAUGCUUUGGAUUUGUUGAAUGGCUUUUUUGUGUGUAUUGAGAUGUUUAUGUGGUUUUUGUCCUUUAUCCUGUUAUUAUGGUGUAUUAUAUUAAUUCACUUUUUGGAUGUGAAGCCAAACUUGCAUUCCUGGGAUAAAGAAUUCCAUUUGAUUCCUGGGAUAAAUCCCAUUUGGUCAUGGUGUUUAAUUCUUUUUAUAUGUUUCCGGAUUCAGUUUGCUGGUAUUGUGUUGAGGAUUUUUUGUGUGUGUGUGUUGAGGAUUUUUACGUUAUAUUCAAAAGAGAUAUUGGCCUAUAGUUCUGUUUCCUUGUGGUGUCUUUGUCUGAUUUUGGUACCAGGGUGACUGGGUCUCACAGAAUGAGUUGGCAGCCCUGUCAACACUCUUUAAGCAUGUUAGGAAGUUAGCCACAGCUGCAGGAGGGCCAGAAGGUCACUCACUCCAGGCUUAGCAGACAGCUCACAACAAGCCCAGAUUACCCUCUCCCUGUUGCACAUGGCAGCCCUCACCCUAUUCUCUGAUGAAACCAGCCAGUCUCCUGCCUGCUCUCUCCUAGGGAUCAAACUUGGGACCUUGCGCUUGUGAGGCAGGCAAUGGCACCAUUGAGCUAAAUCCCCGGCCCGGAAAUGUAUGUUUUAC